AGUGGAAGGCUGGAGGUGCAACUUUGGAUUCUGUGGGAGUGGGUGCUCAAGCUGUCGAGAAGACCGCACUAAUUGUGAGAUCUGUUUUGGUCGACAUGACAUACACCAGAGCAUUCUUCGAGCGAGGGGAGGUGCCACAACAGGCCGAAGUGGCAGAAUUGUCCGGAUCUGGAAAAAAUGGCAAUAUUAACAUGUAAAUAGUUAGUAUUAGCAUGUGGUUGUAAACACUUAAACAUUUUACGACAUAUUGUGACGAGAUUGUGUCGUUUGUUGGGUUGAUGUUUGAACUGGUAAGUCGUCGCGUAAAGAAAAGGCUACAUAUGCCGCCUUGCUGAAGAUGUGGCUUGAUUUGUUGGGAGGUGUGAAUCGUCCCAACGUUGUUCCUGUUCAGUCUCCCAAGAGUACGUGGUUCUAGGGCGAGUCAUGAUGUGGCGCCGUGGCGGUCGUCGACGUGACGAAGUCGUUGCCACUGGCUGAGUUCAAGCUUCCUCCACCUUCCCGGGAGAGGAAGUUGACCGUGGAGUUCCCUGGCGGUUACGGGAGUGCUGACGCCAAGUCUCAUGAGCUGUGGCUGGAGGUGGACCGUUUGUGGGUUCCGGCGAGUCGGGAGCGUCAAGAGGUCAUGCAUGUCCCCAGUCGCCGCCACUGUUGAGAAUGUAAGUAAGCUGUGGAAGGUAAUUCUUUUUGGGCUUUGUAUUUUGUUUGUGGUGAGUUUUCUACUUGGUUAUGUGUUUGAUAUUGGUGCUUUGUAUUGUUUUCUAGCCUUUGCAAUCGGCUUAGGCUACUCGUCAUCAUGUGAUGAGUUUGGAGGAUGUUGUCAACGAUGAAAGGCAAGUUGAAGUGUGCCAAGAAGGAACAGACGCGGUUGGACGGUGUUCAUAAUUAAAGAUGGUUAUGGGCCGUCCCGACCCGAAUCCCGACCCGACACGAAAAAACUCGGCCCUGCACGAGCACAAAAAAGCCCGCCCCGACAUGGGCACAGAGUCGUGAGCCUUAAUUUUUUGGAAUAAGCACAACAAGGCCCGGCACUACUCGACCCGGCACGACAAAACACGCUAAAUUUAGUAAAAUUAGCCUUAGACACGACGGUCCGACCCAGCCCGACACGAUACAAUGUGGGCCUGGUGUGGGCACAACCCGGUUAGGGCCAUGGCCCAUGGGCUUGGUCCAAACUCCAAAGCCCGACCCGACCCACAACCAUCUUUAGGUGUUCCUUCUAUCGCUAAUCUAUCAAACUUAUGACAACAACAAAACUCACCAUAUAAUAAAGACUACUUUAUGUAUGUUUUUACCAUAUCAAACAUUAUAAUUUUUAAAUAUCUGCAAUUUAAGAUAUUAAAAGUAAAAAUUGUAUGUUAACAAACGUAAAAGUCAAAACGUUACAACGAUCAGAAAACAGAGUAAAUAUUAAUUCCAUGGUCCGUAAGGUUGGAGGAUUGGAGCUACUAUCGUACAUAGGAAUUGAAUAUUGGUCCCUAAAAUUUUUUUUUAAAAAAAAGAAUCAUCAAAACACUCCAACUGAGUUUUAUCCCAAUCUCAUUCAAGCCAUACAAUUCUUAUCCCACGUUUUUGGGCCAAAACAAUUUUGUCAUCGAAAGCAGUGAUUGGUAGCUAUUUCAUCGUACGUAUUAGUGAGUCAUUCGUCUAUAAAAUGAACACAAUUUUUGUUGCAUCAACAUAACCAACCACCAAAACUUACAAAUAAUCUUGCAACUUUGAGUUACACUAAAUUCAAAGAGAAACCAAGAGAUGGAAUCAGAUUUAUGCCCAUCUGGAAAACUUAGCUGGCCAGAGCUGAACGGGAUGAAGGGAGAAGAAGCAGCAAAAAUCAUUAAGGAAGAAAACCCUCGUGUUAAUCCCAUUGUUUGGGAUAAACCUUGGAUCCCACUCAACUACGACUGCUACCGUGUCUUUGUCAUUGUUGAUUCUGAUGGAAUCGUCAUUCGUCCUCCAAUGGCCGGUUAAGCAAGCCAAGUAAUAAAUGCGUACACAUAAAAUUGAAGUACGGAGUAAUGGAUAAAUAUGUGUACCAGUAUGUGUUAAGCCUAGCUAUUCGCAUAAUGUAGUGACUAGCUAGUGCGAUUAUGUAAUGUUUAAUUUAAAAUAAAAAGAGUAAUAACAUUUAUGUUUUUGCUCUAUAUAUGUUGAA